AGAGGACUUGCCUGGUUCUCGUGGUCUUCACAGGGGAUCUGUUUCCAGGGUUUGUCUAGUUGAUGAGAUCUUCACUGAUAUUCAGGGCUGUAGAGGUCGUCUCGAAGGGCCACGUUCCUUUCCUUUCAGACUGCAGUGAGGACAGUGUCACUAUGACUGAUGGCGGGAGCUCUGAGAUGGGCUGUGUUGGAGGUAGUGGAGCGUGUAAUGAACGCUAACUCACUUUCCGCGGUUUCCUCUUUCUUCACAUCCCUGUACAGUUCUCCUGGGCCAGCCUGUCUCCUUUAGUGUGACCUUGUGACCAGCGCUGUGGUGGGCUCACUGUGACACUUCCAUGCUGCUGGGUGUCAGCAGUGAUGAUGGUUGGCCUUCAGUCCCAGAUGGCUUCCAUAUGGCUGAACACACCUUCAGUGUCUGUGAUUGAUCCCUUCCCCGCUAAACACCAUCGCGGUACACACCACACCCUCUUCCAUGCAUAUUCACUCAGUAUGUUCUUGCUCUUAAUAAUGCACACACACACACACACACACUGUUUAUAGGCUGGUACUUUCCAUACGUGUCCUUGCUGCAUUGACAGGUUUGUGUGAUGAAUAGUCGAGUGCUUGUCAUUGCUUGUGGUGUGCAUUCUGUUCUCCUAGCACAUGUUUUAAAUACAGCUUGUCAAGUCAAAAUGUUCCUCCAUUCAUCUGCAGAGACCACCAAAGUGCUGCAUGGGGAAGAAAUUGUGCAAAAGAAGCGGAUAUCACAUUAUGAGCUGCAAAAUAUGACGUGGCAUGGGCAGCAGGAAAUAGGGGGUUCUGCGCAGUUUGGGGGAGUAACUUUUUCUUUUAGACAGCAGCAACGUAAUAA